rnacentral:pre_miRNA from 1 species
UCCAAACUGUUGGGACAGAAGAGGGAAGGAGGCACAGAAAUAGCUCCAGGAGUGACUGGUGGCUUUGGUUCUUCUUUUCCAGGUCCCGCUGGCCCUGA